UUUAUUUUAAAUGACUUUAAUUUCAUUUUUAAUAUAUAGUGAGAACACACUGUAAUAAGUUCAUUUCACUACUUUUCAGUUUCAAAAUAACUUUGUCUUUUGAAAUUUCUGCCUCCUAAAUUAAGUCAAGCAUUUCAGAGACUUCAUAGAAAGAAACAUUCUCUUUUCUCUUUAAAAGAAUUCCAUGUGUCUAAGCACUUUUAUAAAGUAGAGGUGUUUAGUAACAUAGAAUCUCCAGUGUAAUAAAUAUUUCUCCAUUGGGAUAUUUCUAUUGGCAAAAUUAUGUAAAGCAAUUUAUAGCUUCAUGCUCUUAUAAGAAAGAUUGUUUUCUUUCUCUUCUUUCUUAACAAUAAAAAGAGCUUUAUUAGAUUUUUUCUGAUUAUGAAAGCACAUGCUUAUUUACAAUAACUAUACUAUAAAAAUAAUUCAGCAGUUACAUGCAGUAGACUUGUACACAUAGCAACAUAGAUCUGAAACACAUAGUACUAGGUGGAAAAUGUAAGAAAUGGAUGAGAAACCAUUUAAGUAAAUUUAAAAUAUCUGUACAAAAAAAAAUUUUUAGGACUAUACAAACAAAAUAAAAGAUUUAUAUUAAAUGUAUUAGGAUAGUUGUUAGUGGGGGUGGUUUGGGUGAUCUAAGUAGGAAAUGGGGUUCAAAGAUAGUAAAAGAAGAAAUUUCAGGUAAUUUAAAAGUGUGAGGAAUUUAAAAUCACCUUCAAUUCCACUCCUUGAUAAUAUCACAGCGCAUAGUUUGGAAUAUAGACAUCCAGAUAACACACACAUACACAUGCAUACACAUACACAUGCAUGCACACACACAUUUUAAAGUGGGAUUAUAAUCUGUUUUUAAUCUUAUUUUCAUUAAACAGUAUAAUAUAAAUCUGUUGAUAUAAAUCAUUUUUAAUGUAGUACGUGCAUGGAUCUUCAUAACCUAUUCAAUGACUACCCCAUGGAUGUAUAUUUAGGUUUUUUCCAGUUCUUUUUAAUGACUAAUGUUACAAUUAACAUUCUUAUACAUAUAUCUUUAUCUACUUGCCUUUCACUAGAAAUGCCCAUUUAAAUUAUUGAAACAGGGGCACCUGAGUGGCUCAGUCGGCUAGUCGUCCGACUUAGCUCAGGUCAUGAUCUUGCAGUUCAUGAGUUCAAGCCCCACACCGGGCUCUGUGCUGACGGCUCAAAACCUGGAACCUGCUUCAGAUUCUGUGUCUCCCUCUCUCUCUGCUCCUCUCCCUCUCGUGCUCUGUCUCUCUUUCAAAAAUAAACAUUAAGAAAAAUUUUAAUUAUUGAAACAAGUUGUCAAACUGCCUUCCAGAAAUACCAUUUUCACAUUCAUAAUAUGAAACUUUCUGAUUCUCACAAGGUGUUAAAGCUUAAAACACUUGUAAAAUAAACAGCAACAAAAUUAUCUCCAUAUUCCAGGCCAUCCAAAUGUCCAGAUCGCCUCAAUAGAAUUAAUUUACUCACUUAGUACCUUCUGUUCAGUGGGAGGUCAAAGACUACAAACCAUGUUAAUGUCAUUACACAGCUGACUAUUUAGCACUGCCUUGGUCUGACCUAUACAUCAGGGACUGAGUGAACUACCAGAGAAAAGCAGAAAGGAUGCAGAUUCACUUAAGUAGCACAUCAACUUUUUUGCACUUGUACAUGCAUCGUAAUCUUGAAUGUCAAAAAAAUUAAAGUCUUUAAUUACUAAUAGUGGGAUCUAUAUUCUAAGUAGUUGUGAGUUGUCUGUUUUUCAACUUCAUUCCUAAAGUGGCUUUUAUUGUGUUUUGAAGGUUUUGACCUCAUUGGCAACAGUCAAAUUCAUUUUUAAACAUAGCCUCCCAAUCAGACAACAAUUCCAGCCUGGUGGGGUGGACAGAGCUGGGCUGUAGAGCCAGGCUGACCCUGGGCUGUGUGCAAAGUCAUGUGGCCACAGGACCUUAGGCUAGUUACUAAACUUGUCUAUUUCCUCAUGGUAUUACACAGAGGUAAGAACCUCCAUUGGGUUGUAUCUCCAGUAUCUAGAACAAAUAUAUCAACAAAUAUUUGUUCGUUCAUUCAAGGUAACAAUUAGCAAUAAUGAAUGUGAAACGUCUGGAAUCUAGAAAAUACUAAGUGGUAGCUAUUGUCAUAUUAAGAUAAAGUAAAGGGAUGUUGUUGAAGGAGAGAAGCUGAAAGCAAAGAAUUUCAGAUAGUCUGGAUUGCUGGUGAGAGCCCGAGAUCAGGUUCUAGGGCCACUGUGAGUUUGGAAAUGUGGAAAUUAAUAUUGACAGCUUGGAAGAAGAAAAGGAGUUGCUCUGAAUUAGGCUUAGUAUUCAGGGUUACCAACAGCCCGUCAAAAUGGAAAAUACCUACGUGGCUUUUAACCAGGUGUGAAUGUGAAUAAUCAACUCAUCAAGGUAAAGUCUUUAAGCUUUUUCUACCCGGUAUCAUUGCUAUACCUAAAGCCAUAUUGCAGGAAGGACUGCUAAAUGCAUGUUUUCUUAAUGCCGCUAUGUGGCAGGAAUUUAAAGUUAUAAUCUCUUUUCAAGGCACAUCUUUAUUAAAGGGGAAUCAUUCAAAGCCAUCUGAGUGCAAUUACUAUAUAAAGGCUAAUUGACCUAAUUAAUCUAAUGUGGGUCAAUGUCUCUAUCCUACCCAAAGAACAUUUUCAAAUGAAAAGGGGGAAAAAAGCAACUCCAAAAGGGAUUUCUUUAAGUGAACAUCCUUAAAUUUAGUGAGCCUGAUUUAUUCCUUGCACACAGAUAUUAUAUUGCUACAUAUUAUAUUGCUGGAGUGGCUGAGCUGGGAUAAAAAGAGAUAGACUAAUUCUCUGAGGAUCCUGAGGAAUAUUCUGUUUGUCACUCAGGGGAAGGCACUAUAUAAAUUACAUUAUACCAAUACUGCCUCUUUCUGAUAAGGUAGCACUGAAAGAAGAAUUCAACAUGACAAGAAGUCAAAUUUACUAUCAUACUGUUUUGAUUCUCUUGGUGAUGUGAUAAAGUGCAUGCUGAUACCUGCUUUUUAUUUGAUUAACUUACAGCUCCUUUGAAUGUCAGCUUGUUCCAUUUGAAGUACUGGCUGCCAAAUAUAAACUGGGACUGAUAAUAUCUGAGCCCUAUGAUUGAGGAAAGAAUGUGUAACACAUGCCUGUGGUAGGCAAAAUAAAGCCUCCCAACAUGUUCACGUUUUAAUCCCCCAAAUUUGUAACUAUGUCACAUUACAUGGCAAAAGGGACUUUGCACAUGUGAAGUUAGGGAUCUUGAGAUGGAGAGAAUAUCCUGGAUCAUCCAGGUGGGUCCAAUGUACUCACAAGAGUUCCUAUAAUGGAAAGAAGGAAGCUGGAGAGUCAGAGAAAGAGAUAUAAGGAUGGAAGCAAAGGCCAGAGAGACAGAGAGAAGGAGAAAGGGAGAUAGGUUUGAAGAUGCUCUGCCUCUAGCUUCGGUGAUGGAGAAAAAGGCUGUAAGUCAGGGAAGGUAGGCAGCUUCUGGAAAAGUCAAGGGAAUGGAUUCUCCCCUAGAGCCUCCAGAAGAAAUGUAGCCCUGGAUUUUAAAAUCAAGCAACCUUGAUUUUAGCCCAGUGACAUUAAUUUUUGGACUUCUGACCUCUAGAAUUGUGAGUAAUAAAUUUGUAUUGUUUUAAGCCACAGAGUUGGUGGUAAUUUGUUAUAGCAGCAAGAGAAACUACGUGCCACUUUUGGGGCUCAUGGCAUAGAGCUACACUAGUGUCAUUUUAGUUGGAUUGAGAUGACUUUCCCAAACUGGACCUAUAAUCCAAGACAAAGCUAGGGCAAACCAGGGAAGCACACAGCAGAAGCUCUUGCUUGGCCUUUUAUUCAUCACAAGCUCACUUUGUUCCCAUUUAUUCUGAGGCCUUUUAGAGAAAUGGAGUAUUAGCGAAGGUUCCUAAGUGUGGGAAGAAAUCAGUCCUCUUAUGAGUUAAUUCCCCUUUCCUCAGGUUUUAAACUCCAAAGACAUUUUCUAAAAUGAUUUUCAACUAUAAACAAUGUCUUGUAAUCAACUUGGCCUUUGUUCUGGCCAAAAACUUUAGAAAGUGGUUAAGUAUCUUCACUGGGAGUCACUGGCCCUGGACAUGGCCUUGAGCUAAUAGGGUAGAAAAGGUAGGAGUUUUGGGCAGCUGAUCAAAAUCUUACAUGGGGUCAAGGAGUUUUAAAAGAUAAAUGGGGCACAUGGGUGGCUCAGUCAGUUAAAUGUCCAACUCGAAUUAGCUCAGGUCUUGAUCUCAGGGUUGUGAGGUUCAAGCCCCAUGUUGGGCUCCACUCUGUGUGUGGAGCCUACUUUUAAAAAAUGGUAAUAUAUACAGCCACUGUGCUAAGGAGCACUUACAUCCAUUAAGUAACAUGUGCAUUAUCCUAUUAUCCCAUGCUUAUUAUCCCGACUUUCAACUGAGGAAAGUAAAGCUGAAGAAAUGGCACCGUGCCCACUGUCACCUAUAGCAGGCUUACUCAAGGGCUGGGCUGUUAACCACUACUCCAUGUCCCCUCUCCACAUCAGAACUUCCCUGGAAAAUUCUUGGAACUCUUGGAAAGUGUUCUAUAGACAGAAUUAUGGCAGAUUUGUUGUUUUCUUGAUGUUCUGAGUGUGCCACCCCAGCAAAUUCUUGAGAAUGCAGGCAGAGUUUGCAAGAGGAAAUGUAUAUAUCACUACAACACGAAGCAAAGUCCUCUUGUCAAAUGCAGUCAAAGAACGGGUAGGUUGUGCAGUGCAAGCUUGGCUUUCUCUGAGGCACACUAGUUCUUAUGGGCCUGAUGGAAAGGCCUGUUAACUGAUGGCAUGAUCAUGACUCCAUUAGAAGAAAGACAAACAAUGAAAAGGAAUAAGUGCACAGUUUGAUUCUGGCCAUUGCAGUGGACCCAAUGAGGAAGAAAAGCUGGAGGAAUCUAGUGAGACCGUUUAGGUUGGAUAGCAAGCUUUCUGAUGAACAUGGGUGAACAGUGAACAGGAUGACACAUACCCAAGGUCCUGGAAUAACUCAAGUCUUAGAAGAAGAUUAAUGGUCAGAAACAGGUAAAAAUGCUAAAGAAAAUAAAAAAUUUAGAGCAGGAGGAAUUCUGGGAAGGAAAAAGCCCAAGCUUGAAAAUAAUGAUGCUAAGUUAGUAUACAAUAACAGUGAGGAAAAGAACUUCUCCACUCCUAUUUUACCAUCUUUUUUUUUUCUUGGUAAGAAGAUUGGAAGAUUGACUGGAAAGUGUGGACAAGUGUUAGCAAAAGGAAGUGGCACCCCAACUUGUCCAAGAAUCCACAUCUGAACCAUUGCAUCCCAAGGGAAGGGAUAUAUACUGGAAACCAGAGGAAUUUUUAUAGACCAAGAUUAUUGGUAUUACAGCCUGACCAAGAAUCUUGUGAUACCCUUAUGAAAGAACUGCACUGGUUGCUACAGCAGUUCCUGAUGGAAGAGACACAAAAGACUAGAGCCUUAAGUACAGAGUAGCGUGUUUGCAUCCUGACACCAGAAAGGAUCUGAUCAUCUGAGAGCUUCCAGUCUAGGUCUUAACAGCUUUCAAAAAUCAAACACGUUCAAACAAAACAAUACAAAACAAAAGCCCUGAGAGGCAGUUGCACAUUUUGCAAUCACUUGUGUAAAGAGAUAGCAUGUCUGUGGUACAAGAACUACCUACAAUAAGGGAUAUGUGGUUUGGCUCUUCUAGAGGAAAACAAGCCUUCCAGAAAUUGGCGACCGGUUUUGCAGAAAACAUGAAGUCAUUUCACAACAUGUCAUGGUAACGAAGAACCAGAAACUUCUGUGAGACUCAUUUUAGCCGGGAGCGGCAGCCUUCUCCGCACCAGGGCUCUCGGCCGCAUCCUGUCCUGGCCUUUGCUGCACCUCCCUUCCCGCCUCCUCUCCAUGGCACAGUUUUUGGAUGAGCGAAUGUAAGUAAGUGCUCAGGCUCUUUGGCAAGUCAAACCAACCGACUACCACCCGGUUUAAGUGAAACGUCACAGCCUUCAGAACCUCAGCAACACUAAUCCACGGACCUUCCCUCCAGACCCCUGCCAUCAACAGGAAUCAGCUCCCGACUCCUGGCCUUGGGGACUCCUAGCUCAAAAUCUAGACAGAGACGGUUCCCGCUUGGCUCACAUGCCCGCACGCUCCAGGCAGCUCCGUCCAGGUAGGAGGGUCUCAUGUGAGUGUUCAGAGGCUGGGGAAUGUGCAGUGGGAGUGGGUCAUGAGCUGGCCUGAUACUCAGGGAGGAAUCCCUCACUUUACAAGACUUGGCUUUUUUUUUUUUUAAGUUUAGUUUGGAGUGAGUGAGAGAGAGAGACAGCUCCCAUGUGCAUGUGGGGGGAAGGGGCAGAGAGACAGAGGAGAGAGAGAAUCCCAAGCAGGCUCCAUGCUGUCAGUGCAGAGCCCGAGAACCAUGAGAUCAUGACGUAAGCUGAAAUGAAAAGUUGGAUUCCUAACCGACUGAGCCACCCAGGUGCCCCUACAUGACUUGACUUUUAUGAGUGGCUGUGGUAGGGGUGGGGGGAGUUCUGUGGACUGAGUCCCAGGGAGAGUCAUUAGAUAAGGGGGAUGGGAGAUGGUAUGGUGAAUGGAGGGGCUGUGGUUGGGAGGAAAUUGUUUUGGUUUUCUGUUGCUGCCAUAACAAAUCACAACAAUGGUUUAGAACAACACAAAUGUGCUGUCGUACGGUUCUGGAGGUAAGAAUUCUAACAACUGGUCUCACUGCACUGAGAUCAAGGUAUUGGCAGGGCCAAAUUCCUUUCUGGAGCCUCUAGAGGAGACUACUUCUUUGCCUUUUCUGGAUUUUUUUUUAAUAUGAAAUUUAUUGUUAAAUUAGUUUCCAUACAACACCCAGUGCUCAUCCCAACAGGUGCCCUCCUCAAUGCCCAUCACCCUGCCUUUUCUGGCUUCUGAGGCCACAAGCAUUUCUUCCCUUGUAGCAUCUUCCACCAUCCUUAAAAGCCAGCAAUGCUGCCUCUCUCUGACCUCUUUUCUGUUACCACAACUCUUUCUCACUGAGGACAGAAGGGAAAGUGUCUUCAUGUUUAAGGACUAUGUGAUUAGAUUGAAUCCACCUGGAUGAUUCAGGAUGCCCUCCCUCUUCUCAAAGUCCUUAACUUUAAUCAUAUUCGCAAAGUCUCUUGUUAUGGGUUGAAUUGUGUCCAAAUUCGUAUUUUGAAGUUGUAAACCCAAGAAUGUGAACUUACUUGAAGACAGGGUCACAGCAAAUGUAAUCAGCUAAUAUUAGAUCAUUCGGGUGGGCCUUAAUUCAACAGGACGGGUGUGUGUAUCAGAAGGGGGUGGGGGCACCUGGGUCGCUCAGUCGGUUGAGCCUCUGACUUCAGUUUAGGUCGUGAUCUCGAAGUUCAUGAGUUCAAGCCCUGCAUCGGGCUCUCUGCUAUCAGCACAGAGCCCACUUCAGAUCCUCUGUUUUCCUCUCUCUCUAAACAAACAAACGUUUAGAAACCAGUGGGGGUGGAAUUUGGACACAGACACCCACAGAAGGAGAAACACGGGGAGGAGACAGCCACCUAUACAAGCCAAGGAGAAAGGCCUGGAAUAGAUCUCUCCCUCACAGCUUUUAAAAGAAACCAACCUGCUGAUGUCUUGAUUUUGAUCUUCUAGCCUUCAGAACUGCGAAAGAAUACAUUUCUGUUCAAGCCACCCAGUUCCUAGUACUUGGUUAUGGUGACCUUACCAAACAAACGUAUCUCUUUUGCCAUGUAAGGUAUCAUAUUCACUGGUUCUGGGGAUUAGGACAUGGACAUCUUCCGGAGGGCCAUUAUUCCACUUACCACACGUUUGAACAGUGGAUCGUAGCCAAAUGGUAUUAACUUCACUUUGUCUUGGGACUAAGCUCAGUAGUUCCUGUACCAUGAAUGAAAUAAUGGAUUAGACCACAGGCUUGUUGCUCACAAACGCUCUGCACGCAUGAGAGCAGACUCAAAACAAUAGGUCUUUGCAUGGGAACAUUGUCCAACUUCAGGCACUCUGGUUUUUGUAAACCACAAUGCAAGGUGCUGGCAUUUACUGCCACUUUUGAAGGGCAGACAUUGUGUUAGCAGAAUCCAGUGAACUGGACAUUGGUACCUUUUUUUCUUAGAACAAAUAAAAACAUGUGGGAAUGACAUCAGCAAAAUGGUGGAAUAAGAGUCUUCUUCUGUGUUCUCCCCGCAAAACAGCAAGUUUGACAAUCACCCACAGAGGGGAAUGCAUUUGAGGCAGUCCAGGAGUCCAGCAGAGAAGUUCCAGCAAACCACUGGAGCAAAAAACAACCAGAUUGGAUGCAGUGAAGAGGGUGACAGAAACAGUUUUUUUUUUACCUAUGUCACCCCUCCCCCAAGGCACAGAUAUAGAUCAAUGCCAAGGUAGACCUUCUAGAUGUGUGGCUUCUUUCAAGGGCGAAACUGAGAGUGUGUGAAUGAGUACCUGGCUUCCCAGCCAUGUGUAAUGCUACCAAAAAGGCCCACUUCUCUCUCACCCCAUCCAGAGUACAGAGGCAUGCUGCACAAAUCAGGGGCAGAGAGUGGCUGGGAGAACAGACAGGGCUCUCAGAGGGCAUCAGAAAGACACGGAUCUUACCAACCACUUUGUGGAAUUCAUCAGGAAGCAGGCCCACAAGCUGCGGGGGAUGUUUCAUUUGAGGAUUCCCCCCAGAUGGCCCCGGGGGUUCCUGAACACUCCGUUUACCUCCCUCACACACACCACACCCUGUGGCUGGCUGGUUGUGUGUGUUCCAUGAGGGGGGAGUAUGAGCCUUUGUAGACAGCUGGUGAGCGCGGGCAGAAAGCUGGCCCUGACUCUGCAAGCCUGGGAGAACAGAGGGGCGCCUGCAGGGCUCAGGCAGUUAAGACUCUAGAUUUCAGCUCAGGUCAUGAUCUCACGGUUUGUGAGUUUGUGCCACGCGUCAGGCUGAGCUGACAGUGCAGCGCCUGCUUUGGAUUCUCUCUCUCUCUCUCUCUGCCCCUUCCCCCACUCAAAAAAAAAAAAGAAAGAAAGAAACUUAAAAAAAAAAAAACAGAUUGGGAGAAAACACACUAACGAGCAUUUAGCACCAUUCUAGGGAAAGCAAGAGAAGCAUACACACGAUCUUAAGAAAUCCCCCUAAGAGGGAACAAGAAAUG